ACUCUCACCUCAAGAAAACUCCUUCACAGGUCCUGAUACGUGGGCCCACCAAUAAACCACCGAGACCUCUUUGCCUCAGAUUUGAAACAUUGGCUAAACAGCGUUAAAUUUCCUAGUCAACUGGGAAUGACAAGUCUAAAUAACAAAUGAAACUUGAAGCACACAAGUAUAAGCUUGGUCAUCCUGAGUUCCAGCCAUCAGGGAGGAGAAAGACAGCAUGGAUGAAGCUAUCCCAGGCCCAGAAGUGGCACACGUCACUUCCACUCCAUUCUGCUGAAGAGAACCUGGUUACCAUCACACUCAACAUAGGAGGCUGGGAGACAUAGUCUGAACAUGUCCCAAGAAGAAAAGGAGAAUGGAUUUGGGGGACCAGAUACCCAACUUCUGCUUCCCAUUUUGUCACACAGAAAAAUUAAGUAAAAGAAGAAAACGCAACCUCAAAGACGGGACCAUCUUUUAAAUAUUCUCACUAUAAUCUGUAUAUUAAAAAUGGAGUUCAGGGAAAACACCAUUCCUCUGAAAUUAAAUAAAUUGU